rnacentral:misc_RNA from 1 species
GAUGAAGAACGUAGCGAAGUGCGAUAAGUAAUGUGAAUUGCAGAAUUCCGUGAAUCAUCGAAUCUUUGAACGCAAAUUGCACUCUCUGGUAUCCCGGGGAGUAUGCCUGUUUGAGGGUCAGUGUUAAUAAAAAUCGGUGCGUUGCACUUUAUUGUGACGUUCUGGAGUUUGAGUUAUCUUAACUUUUAGGUUAAGAGGCUUAAAAUUGACCUUUUUUUUGUGCAUUAUAGACGUACAUAAAUUUUCUUUUAUUUGUCUUUUAAUGCCAAAAUUAUAUUAGAUGCGACCAUAUCGUGUGGUUUCGUGUCUAUAAAUUUUUCAUGAUUUGACCUCAAAUCAGGUAGGAGUACCCGCUGAACUUAAGCAUAUCAAUAAGCGGAGGA